GAACGCUCUACGCGAGUAUAGAGUGGCGGACGGGUGAGGAACACGUGGGUUAUCUACCUUUCGGUGAGGAAUACCGGCGAGAAAUCGCCGACAAAACCGCAUACCCUCAGCAAUGAGGAAAGUCGCAAGACGCCGGAAGAUGAGCCUGCGGCCGAUUAGCUAGCUGGUGGGGUAAAAGCCUACCAGGGCGACGAUCGGUAGCUGGUCUGAGAGGACGAUCAGCCACACUGGGAUUGAGAACGGCCCAGACUCCUACGGGGGGCAGCAGUGAGGAAUUUUCGUCAAUGGCCGAAAGGCUGAACGAGCAACGCCGCGUGCAGGAAGAAGGUCUUCGGAUCGUAAACUGCUUUUCUCUGGGACGAGUUUGGACGGUACCAGAGGAAGAAGCCCCGGCUAACUACGUGCCAGCAGCCGCGGUAAU
rnacentral:rRNA from 1 species